AUUGAACGCUAGCGGGAUGCUUUACACAUGCAAGUCGAACGAGUGGCGGACGGGUGAGUAAUAUAUCGGAACGUGCCCAGUAGCGGGGGAUAACUACUCGAAAGAGUGGCUAAUACCGCAUACUAUGGGAGCGGCCGAGAUCGGAUUAGCUAGUUGGUGGGGUAAAGGCUCACCAAGGCAACGAUACGUAGCUGGUUUGAGCGGAGGACAAGCCGCACUGGGACCGAUACACUGCCCAGACUCCUACGGCGGGCCGCAGUGGGGAAUUUUGGACAAUGAGGGAAACCCUGAUCCCGCCAUCGCGGUUGUAUGCGAAGGCCUUCGGGUUGUAAAGUACUUUUGGCAGAGAAGCGGUAUCUGCAUAAUAAGCACCGGCUAACUACGUGCCAGCAGCCGCGGUAAUUC
rnacentral:rRNA from 1 species